GAUAGAGGAUGCAAGUGUUAUCCGGAAUGAUUGGGCGUAAAGCGUCUGUAGGUGGCUUUUCAAGUCCGCCAUCAAAUCCUAGGGCUCAACCCUAGACAGGAAGUGGAAAACUACCAAGCUAGAGUACGGUAGGGGCAGAUGGAAUUUCUGAUGGAGCAGUGAAAUGCAUUAAGAUCGAAAAGAACACCAAUGGCGAAAGCACUCUGAUGGGCCGACACUGACACUGAGAGAUGAAAGCUAGGGGAGCAAAUGGG
rnacentral:rRNA from 1 species